rnacentral:tRNA from 1 species
CAGAGAAUAGUUUAAUUUAGAAUCCCGGCUUUGGGGGCCGGGGGUGGGAGUUAAAAUCUCUUUUCUCUGA